rnacentral:rRNA from 1 species
GAUGAACGCUAGCGGCAGGCCUAAUACAUGCAAGUCGAACGGUGUCUUCGGACAUAGUGGCGCACGGGUGCGUAACACGUAUGCAACCUACCUUACAUUGGGGGAUAGCCUUUCGAAAGGGAGAUUAAUACCGCAUAAGACAGUAGCUGGGCAUCCAGCAGCUGUUAAAGAUUUAUCGAUGUAAGCUGGGCAUGCGUCCAAUUAGCUAGUUGGUGAGGUAACGGCUCACCAAGGCAAUGAUUGGUAAGCGAACUGAGAGGUCAAUCCCCCACACUGGCACUGAGAUACGGACCAGACUCCUACGGGAGGCAGCAGUAGGGAAUAUUGGGCAAUGGACGCAAGUCUGACCCAGCCAUGCCGCGUGCAGGAUGAAGGCGUUAUGCGUUGUAAACUGCUUUUAUACAGGAAGAAACGACUCUUGCGAGAGGCAUUGACGGUACUGUAUGAAUAAGCACCGGCUAACUCCGUGCCAGCCGCCGCAGUAA